rnacentral:lncRNA from 1 species
CUGUCGCCCAGGCUGGAAUUACAGUGGCGUGAUCUUGGCACUGCAACCUCUACUUCCUGGUUUCAAGCGAUUCUCCUGCUUCAGCCUCCUGAAUGUCUGGAAUUACAGGCAUCCACCACCACCCCUGGCUAAUUUUUGUGUUUUUAGUGGAGAUGAGGUUUCACCUUGUUGUCCAGGCUGGUCUGGAACUCCCGACCUCAGGUGAUCUGCCCGCCUCGGCCUCCCAAAGUGCUGGGAUUACAGGCGUGAGCCACCGCACCCUACCAAAAUGUUUUAUUUUAUUAUAAAUUUACAUAAAUCAGCAAAUUAAUGAUAAGAAUUUUUUGGUAUCAAUUUAUGUAUGGUACAUUUCCUUCUUUCAAGGGCUAGAGGUUGUUUUGCUAAAAAUAUGUGACCAAGGUUAAAAUUAUUUCAAAAUUAGGAUGGAUAAUAAAAUAAUGAUGUCUUUAUUGUUUUAUUAGGAGGUCUACUCUUGCUCUAAAAGGAUUCUGAAAAAUAUGUGUUGUGUUGUUUUGUUUUAUUUUCCAGGUUUGUGUACGUGUGCAUGCAUGUGUGUGGGAAGCCUUGGAGAUUAGGGUUGCAAUGUGUCUGCUCAGCUAUAUUGAUCUCUUUAUUAAACUAUGUUGUUUCUCCAACUUGCCUCCAGUCUCUUCAUGACUUUUAUAUCAAGCACAGAAUUUAAAUGUGCAUUUCUGUGUUGAAAUUUUAAUAUGCAAUGAUAUUGUAGUUGAUUCAGCCAUAGGGAAUGCAUAAAACGACAUGAAAAUUAUAUGAUCACAGAGGCAGAACCAAACCCUUAGGAG